UACAGAGGGUGCGAGCGUUAAUCGGAAUUACUGGGCGUAAAGCGCGCGUAGGCGGCUUUGCAAGUCGGGUGUGAAAUCUCCAGGGCUCAACCCGGGAACUGCGUCCGAUACUGGCAGGCUUGAAUCCGGGAGAGGGAUGCGGAAUUCCAGGUGUAGCGGUGAAAUGCGUAGAUAUCUGGAGGAACACCGGUGGCGAAGGCGGCAUCCUGGACCGGCAUUGACGCUGAGGCGCGAAAGCGUGGGGAGCGAACAGG
rnacentral:rRNA from 1 species